UUGAAGGUGUUCGCCAAGCGAG
rnacentral:siRNA from 1 species